rnacentral:snRNA from 1 species
AUAAUAAUUUGCGAUAGAAUUAG